CUUGGGACAGAGGACUGCUGUCUACUCUCUCCAGUCACCCUCCCAGUCCAAGGAUCUGUGACCCCAGCAUGAGGACCCUCGCCCUCCUUGCUGCCCUUCUCCUGGUGACCCUCCACGCCCAGGCUGGACCCCUGCAAGGGAGAGAUGAGGAGAUGCCACCCCAAGAGCGGCCCGUGGCAGAGGACCAGGAUGUGUCCAUUUCCAUCACAUGGAAUGAAAACUCCAUUCCUCAAGCUCCAGCAAGGAGCAUGCGCUGCUCUUGUAGAACUCUCUGCCGUGUCGGGGAACGUCUCACAGGGAUCUGUCAGUUCGGUGGUGGUUCCUUAUUGCGCUGCUGCCGCCGCCGCUGAUUGUGGAGAAUGGCGGAAAGGGGGCUCAAACUAUGCCUGGAGAGCUAAACGAUGCUGCUGUCACUCCUCUACCUUGUCCUCACUUUGCU